CCUACGGGCGGCUGCAGUGGGGAAUAUUGCACAAUGGGGGAAACCCUGAUGCAGCGACGCCGCGUGAGUGAAGAAGUAAUUCGGUAUGUAAAGCUCUAUCAGCAGGGAAGAAAAUGACGGUACCUGAGUAAGAAGCCCCGGCUAACUACGUGCCAGCAGCCGCGGUAAUACGUAGGGGGCAAGCGUUAUCCGGAUUUACUGGGUGUAAAGGGAGCGUAGACGGCAGUGCAAGUCUGGAGUGAAAGGCGGGGGCUCAACCCCCGGACUGCUCUGGAAACUGUACGGCUGGAGUGCAGGAGAGGUAAGUGGAAUUCCUAGUGUAGCGGUGAAAUGCGUAGAUAUUAGGAGGAACACCAGUGGCGAAGGCGGCUUACUGGACUGUAACUGACGUUGAGGCUCGAAAGGGUGGGGAGCAAACAGGAUUAGAUACCCCAGUAGUC
rnacentral:rRNA from 1 species